CCUAGCACAACUUUCCUGAAAAGUCUUUUGUGUCUGUUCAUUCUGGCCAGAGAAUUAAUCCCAGACCAGCCGUUUAUAUGACAGUGUUGAUAUCUGAUUCUGCCAUUCAAAAGAAAAUAGGAAACUUUCCUGACAGCCAUAAUUCUACUUUUCCUGGCCUGGGCUGAGCCCACACCAGGCAGAAUCUGGUUUCCUUCUGACGAGUGUGGAGUGUCAUCCUCUUCCUGUCUGGCAGAGUACCACAGGCAGAAUAAGAUGGAUUUCUGACUUCAAACAGUCCUCAGUUGGUGGAAAAGGGAUCACUGGGAGGAGUACACACCCUCCUUACUUUUGCCAGAGUAGAGCACAUUUAUGACUCAUUGGGGCUGAAGAUGGAUCUUCUUCUGCAUCUGGGGAAAAAACAUCUUCUUCAGA
rnacentral:sRNA from 1 species